ensembl:lncRNA
UGAAAAUCACUAAGCACUGGAGCAGUAACACAACUACAGCUGAACAGCAGAAGCAUGAGACGAUCAUUCAGGACUGGAACAAAAUGGGGGCGAAUAAAUGACGACACCUUUUCAUUUUCAUUGAAU